GAAACACGGAUCAAGGAGUCUAGCAUGUGCGCGAGUCAUUGGGAACUCACUAAACCUAAAGGCGUAAUGAAAGUGAAGGCCCGCCUUGCGCGGGCCGAGGGAAGAUGGGCGUCGGCCGUAAGUCCACGCUCCGCAUUCCCGGGGCGUCUCGUCCUCAUCGCGAGGAGAGGCGCACCAAGAGCGUACACGCUGGGACCCGAAAGAUGGUGAACUAUGCCUGGUCAGGACGAAGUCAGGGGAAACCCUGAUGGAGGUCCGUAGCGAUUCUGACGUGCAAAUCGAUCGUCGGAACUGGGUAUAGGGGCGAAAGACUAAUCGAACCAUCUAGUAGCUGGUUCCCUCCGAAGUUUCCCUCAGGAUAGCUGGCGCUCGUCGCUCACGAGUCUCAUCCGGUAAAGCGAAUGAUUAGAGGCAUUGGGGCCGAAACGGCCUCAACCUAUUCUCAAACUUUAAAUGGGUGAGAUCUCCGGCUUGCUCGAACUGAUGAAGCCGUGAGACACGGAUCAGAGUGCCAAGUGGGCCAUUUUUGGUAAGCAGAACUGGCGCUGUGGGAUGAACCAAACGCCGAGUUAAAGCGCCUAAAUCGACGCUUAUGGGAUACCAUGAAAGGCGUUGGUAACUUAAGACAGCAGGACGGUGGCCAUGGAAGUCGGAAUCC
rnacentral:rRNA from 1 species